CUCAGAGCCAGCAUCAAAGGCUGCGUGAGGCUCGGUAUUUGGGGCAGCUCGUUGCAGCCGCAGUCCCAACAGUGGGGUGAGAAUAACAUCCCAGAGUCACGGAGGGCAGGGGAAGAUCAUGGCCAGCCUUGACCCUCAGAGCUCGCCCGAAAAUGAUCACAGCAGUGCAGCGACAUUAGAAAUGGAUAAAUAAAACCUCUGGUGAGCACACCGGCUGCUGAACCUGUCUGAAAAACAGAGAUUGAGGAGCACACACUGAACCAGGGGAGGCCUUCGGAGGAAGGCCAACAAACAGAUGUGAACUGCUCAUCUGGAUGGGAAGAAAAGUGCUCAAGUCCCCAGGUCCUGGCAGGGUUCUUUCUUCAUGAUCAAGGCUGGGAGUUCCUAUAGGUCAUUUCCCUGCAGUGGUUACAGCUGCUUUGAAUAAUGACCAAACUAUGGAGCAUUCAUGGGGGAAAGGGCCUUCAAGGUCACACUCUGUAGUCUGACCAUCUCACUGGGCAAAUGAGGAACCAGGCCAAUGAGAGAGAUGGAGUGACAUAGCCUGAUAUUUGAUGAGCAUCUUCUUGUGGGAUGUUUAUAAACACCAAACCACUCAUCAGGUUGGAAUGAAGGCUACAAAGCAGCGGCAGCCUCUGACGUCAGCGACCCCCACGGCGGUCUACAUACUGUUGAGCCUUCUGUGAGCAGGAUCUUGUUCUGUCUUCCCAAUAAUCCAGUGAGAUUGGUACCAGCACAGUCCGUAUUUUCACAGCUGAGGACAUCGAGGCCUGGAGAGAUUGGGUAGCUUGACCAAGGUGGCACUUCUCGGAAGGGGCAGAGCCACACCUCAACCGAGCCCUGGCACCAAAUCCCCUCUCUACUGCCUUCUGACAAGGAUAGGGAAAUGGUAAACCAGAAUCUACCUCCUGGGAUGUUAUCUUACAAUUAAAAUUAUUAUG